CACAGGUGGCCAUAUCCAUUUCUAGACUUGUCAUCUUCAUUUGCUCCUUUAUGGUAUGCUGCAGUUGGAUUGAUGCAUUUCCCGUGCUAUGGCAUAUUUGCUCUAAUUAUAAAGCUCAAGUACUAUUGGCUGUCGAAAUGGUUCCCCUGAUCUUGUCAGAUUUUGAGGUGAGAGAGGUAUAGUGAAAAUAUCAGAAAGAAAAUCAAAUGUGUUUGCUUUCUGGAGAUGGAUAGUGUAUAUAUACUAGUAUUCAACACUUGAGAAAAGGUGGGUACAGAAUCUGGAGACCGAUAUUGUUUAUAAUUGAAUUCAAUAAUAUGGUAUUGUUUACCAUAGAAAUGCAUGUAGAUUGCUGUUCGUGUGCUUA